rnacentral:rRNA from 1 species
GAUGAACGCUGACAGAAUGCUUAACACAUGCAAGUCGAUGGGGAAGUGGUGCUUGCACCAUGGCAACCAUGGCGGACGGGUGAGUAACGCGUAAGGGACUUACCUGCAGGACUGGGAUAACAGGGGGAAACUCCUGACAAGACCGGAUAAUGUCAUGGAGCUGCAUGGCUUUAUGAUGAAAGGAGACGCCUGCGGGGAGCCUUGCGUCCUAUUAGCUAGUUGGUGAGGUAAUGGCUCACCAAGGCGAAGAUAGGUAGCCGGCCUGAGAGGGUGGACGGCCACAAGGGGACUGAGAUACGGCCCUUACUCCUACGGGAGGCAGCAGUGGGGAAUAUUGGACAAUGGGGGCAACCCUGAUCCAGCAAUUCUGUGUGCACGAAGAAGGUUUUCGGAUUGUAAAGUGCUUUCAGCAGGGAAGAAGUAAGUGACGGUACCUGCAGAAGAAGCGACGGCUAAAUACGUG